AGAGCGAACGCUGGCGGCAGGCCUAACACAUGCAAGUCGAGCGCGUGUAGCAAUACACGAGCGGCAGACGGGAGAGUAACACGUGGGAACGCGCCCUUCGGUUCGGAAUAACUCAGGGAAACUUGAGCUAAUACCGGAUACGCCCUUACGGGGAAAGAUUUAUUGCCGAAGGAACGGCCCGCGUCCGAUUAGCUAGUUGGUGAGGUAACGGCUCACCAAGGCGACGAUCGGUAGCUGGUCUGAGAGGAUGACCAGCCUCACUGGGACUGAGACACGGCCCAGACUCCUACGGGAGGCAGCAGUGGGGAAUAUUGGACAAUGGGCGCAAGCCUGAUCCAGCCAUGCCGCGUGGAUGAUGAAGGCCUUAGGGUUGUAAAGUCCUUUUAACGGGGAAGAUAAUGACGGUACCGAGAUAAGAAGCCCCGGCUAACUUCGCGCCAGCAGCCGC
rnacentral:rRNA from 1 species